GCUACUGUGGUGCUGUGGUUUGAGCGUUGGACUGUAAUUCUGGAGAUCAGGGUUCGAUUCCCUGCUUAGUC